rnacentral:rRNA from 1 species
CCUACGGGAGGCUGCAGUGGGGAAUAUUGCACAAUGGGGGAAACCCUGAUGCAGCGACGCCGCGUGAGUGAAGAAGGUUUUCGGUAUGUAAAGCUCUAUCAGCAGGGAAGAAAAUGACGGUACCUGAUUAAGAAGCUCCGGCUAACUACGUGCCAGCAGCCGCGGUAAUACGUAGGGGGCCAGCGUUAUCCGGAUUUACUGGGUGUAAAGGGAGCGUAGACGGCAGCGUAAGUCUGUAGCGAAAUGCCGGGGCUUAACCGCGGAACUGCAAUGGAAACUGUGCAGCUAGAGUACAGGAGAGGUAAGUGGAAUUCCUAGUGUAGCGGUGAAAGGCGUAGAUAUUAGGAGGAACACCAGUGGCGAAGGCGGCUUACUGGACUGUAACUGACGUUGAGGCUCGAAAGCGUGGGGAGCAAACAGGAUUAGAUACCCGAGUAGUC